GAUGAACGCUGGCGGCGUGCCUAAUACAUGCAAGUCGAGCGAACAGACGAGGAGCUUGCUCCUUUGACGUUAGCGGCGGACGGGUGAGUAACACGUGGGUAACCUACCUAUAAGACUGGGAUAACUUCGGGAAACCGGAGCUAAUACCGGAUAAUAUUUCGAACCGCAUGGUUCGAUAGUGAAAGAUGGCUUUGCUAUCACUUAUAGAUGGACCUGCGCCGUAUUAGCUAGUUGGUAAGGUAACGGCUUACCAAGGCAACGAUACGUAGCCGACCUGAGAGGGUGAUCGGCCACACUGGAACUGAGACACGGUCCAGACUCCUACGGGAGGCAGCAGUAGGGAAUCUUCCGCAAUGGGCGAAAGCCUGACGGAGCAACGCCGCGUGAGUGAUGAAGGUCUUCGGAUCGUAAAACUCUGUUAUUAGGGAAGAACAAACGUGUAAGUAACUGUGCACGUCUUGACGAUACCUAAUCAGAAAGCCACGGCUAACUACGUG
rnacentral:rRNA from 1 species